AUGAGUGAGCUGUUUGCAAGGUGUGUUGAUCCAAACAGCAAGAAUCCCCAAUCCAACUCCACAAAUCACACCUCAGCGAAUAAAGAUAAACAACAUUUUGAGCAAAGGGACACCAAAAGACCAAAUGAAUUUUUCAGAGAGUACUACCCAGCACCAAGUUUCGAUCUAGGCAUAGAUGAUUUGCCCACAGGAUCUGCAGACAACAGAGCACAUCAACAUGUUGGAUCAAGCACAUUUGCAGAGCAUGAGUUCAAGGAACUUCCAGUACAUACCCAGCCAAUCAUCGAUAUAAUCGAUGACGAUUAUCUGUUGGACGUUGAAGGCAUAGAUGAACCGUGUGCGCAAGCAGAAGGAAAUGCGUACCAAACACCUGAAAAAAGUUCCAACCAAGGAGAAGUGGGGUCAGGCAGCAAGGUUUACAGCAGUAGUAGCUCAGGAGAGAUGCAUCCACAUCAAUUCGAGAGAAGGAUUAUCAAGCCACCUCCUUGCAAGAGGUCACCAUUCAUUGACUAUAAUGAGAAGAAAGUCUACAUGUCCAAACCCGAAGCAAAUACAUUGUAUGCAUCGGUUAUUUUGCAUGGGAGAAUUAAUGAAGAAGAAUCACCAGAUCUUGAUACCAGCCCAAGGGUAAUUGAAUAUGGCAAAUACUUUGUCAUAGCCAGGGAGCUCGCAAACUCAAUGAAGAAGGAAGGUUUUGUCUUCAGCCAUGUAAUGGAAGUUGGUAUAGAGUCUCUAAUGAUGAACUUGCCACCAGACUCAAAGAAGCUCGUGAUGCCGCUCAGGUUCUCGGUUCAGAUGCAAAACAUGGAAUUGAACGACAAGGAGCUCAUUUCCCAGUUCAAGAAGUCGAAUCGCUUGGACCGUAAAGACAUGAUUAUGUUCCCAGUUUUAGAGAACAUUAACAAGACAAAGCCUAAAACAGGCAAUCAUUACUGGAUUUUUAACGUGAACAUAAGGGAUCGACGUUUUGAAGCUCUUGAUUCUUGGAGGACGCUCAAAAACAAGGCUCUAGAUGUUUGCGCAAGGAAAAUGGUUGCAAGUUUUCGGUCUCUAUGGGAAGAGCAUUACACCAGUUCCCGCAUCUCGCUGGAGGACUUUGGGCUUACCAACAUCGACGUUCCAAAAAAAACUGAGUUUGACUGUGGUGUUUUUGCUCUUACGCUAGCAAACGGUUGGGAGGCAAGGGUUGUUCCAAAUUUCACAGCUGGGGAUAUUCCAAGCAUCAGGAAACAAUUGACUAACACGUGGGUUGACAAUGCCAACAACACGGCUCCAUGGAAAACCAUACUCAAGUUAGCAUAG
rnacentral:rRNA from 1 species